rnacentral:rRNA from 1 species
UACGUAGGGGCCAAGCGUUGUCCGGAUUUAUUGGGCGUAAAGAGCUCGUAGGCGGUUCGGCAAGUCAGCUGUGAAAUCUCCACGCUCAACGUGGAGGGGUCAGCUGAUACUGCUGUGACUUGAGUCCGGUAGGGGAGUGUGGAAUUCCCGGUGUAGCGGUGAAAUGCGCAGAUAUCAGGAGGAACACCGGUGGCGAAGGCGGGUCUCUGGGCCGUAACUGACGCUGAGGAGCGAAAGCGUGGGGAGCGAACAGG